rnacentral:rRNA from 1 species
UACGGAGGGGGCUAGCGUUGCUCGGAAUCACUGGGCGUAAAGGGCGCGUAGGCGGCCAUUCAAGUCGGGGGUGAAAGCCUGUGGCUCAACCACAGAAUUGCCUUCGAUACUGUUUGGCUUGAGUUUGGUAGAGGUUGGUGGAACUGCGAGUGUAGAGGUGAAAUUCGUAGAUAUUCGCAAGAACACCAGUGGCGAAGGCGGCUCACUGGCCCAUUACUGACGCUGAGGCACGAAAGCGUGGGGAGCAAACAGG